CUGAAUUUUUUCAAUUUUUUUUUGGUUUUUCUAUGCCUUAGAUGAAUGCAGACUCAAAAAUAUGCACAAUGCAACACACACUUCCUGAGCCCUCCCCCAAACUUAAAUCACACAGUCCACUGUGCGAAUAAACUUGGAAGAGAGUACUCAGGACAAAUCCAAUCACAGAAAUAAAAAAAAUGAAGAAACAAAUCACAAUAGAUGGUAUAAUACAAUGGUGAAGUGAGGCGCUUACCUCAGUCGAAGAAUGAACGUAGUUGCUCGUCAAUGACGAACCACCUUGUUCUGUAUCAGCUCCAGCAGGUGGGUACUCGACCUCAUCAGCUCUGUGGCGGCCAGCACCGCUCUGAGGAUACUCGACCUCUCUCCUUCUGCUGCGGCCAGCACCGCGGUCGCGUAAACUACGAGAGUGCAGAAGUCGUCCGCUCCUACUGCUAGAUCGAGUGAGUGUGGUCCUCCUCUUCCUCCCAGAUUCACGAGGCUCGAAUGAUGAAUGCCUCGCAGGGACAUGCGGAAUCUCCUGCUCUCUAGGCUCAUGCCUGCGUCGACUUGGCUCGGGCGCGUCAUAUCUCCUCGAAGGCAUGUCCUGAGGGAGAUGUCCCUGCGGAAUAGCUGUAUUAGAAGAGUAGCAACUGAGCUUGUUCUUCAUAAACUUGAUAGCCCUGUGGCACUUGGCGAGUAACUUGUCCUGUUUCAUGCACCACUUCUGCAGCUUGCUAUUGUUCCUGUGAGCUUCGCUCAAACUCCUGCUUUCCCUCGCAGGAGGUAUAUGCUCACUGAAAUGAUACAUGCUCGUGUCAAACUCCGCCUCAUCUAUAUUAUCCGUCUCAUCAAUAUCUUUUGUUGUAGCUCCUUCGGUAUGACUGAUCUCCUCAGUUGGCGGACUACCCUCGAAAUAAAGUUCUUCAAGCGCAGGCUUGAAGUCAAUGUUCCUGCCCUCGAGAAUCCUAGUAGCGUCAAUGCAGGGGAGAAGAAUGUUGGCGAUUUUAAUCGAUGAAUUGUCGAACCUGUAGCGGUGAAAGUCGCCAGCCAUGUCAAACUCCAAGAACUCACAUCGGCGCAAAUGAUCCAAGUCCAUCAUCCUCGGUGCCAACCCUGGUUCCUUGAGGGGUACUCCACAACCUUGCAGAAUUGGCGUCACAACGCCACCCACGCAUAGUGCUCCUCUCACCUUCUUCUUCCCGUUCGUCAACGCCCACUUCCUGUAUCCACAGAAAUGGAUCAACAGAGGCAUUACUUGUGGUGCGUUGUUGAGAUCUCCUCUCAAAACAUUCUUCCCCUUCGUCCGGCGGAGAAUCCCUGUAAGCGCAUAAUCUAUCAUCUCUAUGUCCGUGUUAAACACGGUGCCUGUAGACUCCCUGGAGUAAAAGACGUUGGCAACAGAUCGCUGAAAGUAGCAGAUCACAUGACUCCGGAUUUGGUUGCUCUUAGACCGCGCCAAGUUUAGCGGUAAAUUGUUCUCUAUAGUGGCCCACAAAUCCUUAAGCUCCUCUCUGUCAAAUCUGGGUUUGGUUCCCUUUCCACUAGGGAAACCAAACAGUUCUUCUAACUUCUUGAUCGAAAGCUGAUACCGCUGUUCAUUCACUAAGAACGUCAAGAAGCCUAACCCCAUGAUAUCCAGCUCAAAGUCUGUGAGUGCCUCAUACAUCUCCACUUGCAGCGUGGAAAGAAACUCGAUUGUCUCCUCCUUAUAGGCAGGGUAAGGGUAAGACAUGAGUGUCUCCAGAUGACACUUCUUGAACAGAUGCUGUACGUCCUCCAGUAACCCCAGCUGGGCUAAAGUCUCAUAGCACAGAUACCUCGUUCCCCAGAAGUCAUUCAUCUCAAAGAACCUGAUAUACUCCUCCACUGUAACCUCGUCGGGUUUGUUCAGCAGCUUCGUCUCCCUGCGCCAUGACUCUGGCUCAUACUCAGUCUCGAUAUCCUCAUUAAUCACCUCAUAUCUACUUGACAUCGCCCUCUUUCCUCUGGCGAUUUCAGCUCUUCUCUGAUUACGUCGGGCUGCAGAGCGUUUGAAUUCAUCCCUGAAGCUCUGUAAAACAUGUUGCUCUCUCGAUCUAGCGGACCAGGACUCAGCUUCAUCCACAUUGUAGUCAGGGUCCAUAGAGAAUUCUCCACUGUAGUUACUCAUGAUGAAACCUGAAAACAAAUGUAACUCAAAAAUAAACGUUAAUACGUUAGUUCCAACAAAACCAAAAACACAAACCAACAGAGUAAACCGGUCGAGUGUACCAAAAAUUAUUAUUUAUAUUUUUCGGUUUGGUGAACUUGCGGUCGAGUGUUUUCGGAAGGCCGAGUGGAGGUAGAGGAGCGGUGAUUCGAGUGGUUGAAUCGGUGGUGGAGAAACAGAGGUGCUCUUGGCGUGAAGUCGAGUGGAGUUAUGAGCUAGAGAAAGCUGUGUUGAGGUUGAGUGUAUUCCUUGGAGAGGAGAAACGGCUGUUUGUUGAGUAAAUGAGAGACAGAGAUAGAUGGUGAGAUCGAGUGAUUAGGCAAGGUCGAGUAGUGAUGCUUGGACGGAGAAGGUGAUGAGGAAUCGAGUGUAUGGUUGCUGAAUCGAGUAAACCGUUGUUGAGUGAAAGGAGAUGACGAGCUUUCGUGGGAUGAGAGCAUCGGUGUUGGAAACGAUGGAGAGAUGAGGAGCUUAAAUGUGAUAAAUGUUCGGCGGUCGAGUGAAGCUGUAAUGGAGGAGAAUCAAUUUGGUUGGUUGAUGGUGGAGAGGUCGAGUGAGUGAAAUGGAGAGCUCGAUUUGUUUCCUUGGACAGAGUGAGCAGGUAGCGAUGAUGGAGAGGCGGUGAGAAGCGGCGAUCGAGGGAUGGUUGUGGGGAGGAGAUGGGUUUGGAGGUCGAGUGUUUUAUGGGAGAGAAGUGGGAGAAAUGAAGUCGAGUUUAUGAGGUGGUGAGGAGGAGGUGACGAGGUCGAGUAAAGGAGAUAAAGGAGCGUUGAUUCAAGAGGUAUGGGGUCGAGUGGUUUGGAGUUUGGUUUGUUGGUGGUGAUGAAUGAGAGUGAUGGGUCGAGUUUAUGGGGUUGUGGAGGAGAAAACAAGGUGAUGAGGUCGAGUUAAGAGGGAUGGAGGUCGAGUGAUGGUGUUGACGUCGAGUGGAGGAGAAGAGAUGAGGAGAGAUUUCCUGUCCUUUGAUCUGUUGCAUGGAGGACAUGGGCCUCAGCGGCGGGUCCCAGAAUGUCUUCUUGUCUCUUCUCUGUAUUCUCCGUUCACUAGAAAAACUCCAGGAAAUCCCACAAUCCUCUGUAAACUUGAAAGACUCCCUGGAAGACUUUGUAGCUUCUGUUGGUCGAGUAAAAUGAUGUUUUAAUUUUUUUUUAGGUUUUUAAACAUCACUCAUACUCGACCACUAUACUCGAUCUCUAGGCCAUCAGUGGAGUAAAAGUUUUGAAUUUUUACUCUACCUUCACGUUACUCCUUUCUUCCUGAGAACCACAAACACAACCAAAACAAAUAAAAAAUAACAAGAAAGUAAAAAUUAUUUACAAGGAUAGUCAUGAGACUUCCUCCCAAGUGAGCUUGUUUAAAGUCUCUAGCUUGACUCCUCACACUCAUCAAGAAGAAAAUGAAUGAUAGAGAGGGUCUGCAUAGUCCUCUCUAGUAUCAUCAUCAUACCCAGGGUCCUCUCUGGAGAGGUCUGCAGCAGAAUACUCAAUUCCCCUUUCUUCAAAAUAGGCUUCUUUCUCUUCUGGAGGCUAAUCUGUCUCUUGAGACCAUCUUGAAGUGAAUUCUUUUCUCGGGAUUGUGUUAAUCCCGCCUUUAGGUUGAGCUUUCUUCUGCAUAUGAUUCAGCUUACUCCUAAGUUCCUCAAUAGUGUGGGCUAGCUUCUCUAUAGUUUCAUCUUGCUUAUUAGACCUCUUUUUAAGUUCUUUCACUCUUUCAGUCUCAUAUCCUUCUCCUGAGAUCGCUCUAUCAUUUCUAGAGGUUCUUCCAUCUUCUGUUGACCCUUGUGGAGUUCUGUUGAUGUUAAAGUGCAACUUGAUGUGCUUUCCAAGGUUGAGACCUAUAUUCCCUUCUCUGACAUCUAUCACUGCUCCCACUGAAGCUAAGAAUGGUCUUCCCAGUAUUAAGGGAUCCUUAUGCUCUACUUCCAUAUCCAGCACCACGAAGUCUGUAGGCACUUCUACUCUAUUAAUCAUGACAGGUAGGUCUUUCAGCAUGCCGAAGGGUUUUCUAGAAGACCUAUCCGCAAGGAUCAAAGUCAGGUCACAAGGUUUAUACUGAAUGAACUCUAACCUUCUUGCCACAGAGAGUGGCAUCAAGCUAACAGAGGCUCCGAGAUCGCACAGACAAUCGCUGAAAGCAAAUUCCCCAAUGGAACAUGGUAGAGUGAAAGAUCCAGGAUCUUCUAACUUCUCUUGAACAAUCCUUUUACCAGCAGCUCGAGAUAGAGUGGCGUCACUUUCAUCAUCUGAAUCGUGAUACAACUUGAUCCUUUCUAGUAUUAAAUUUCUCACAUCUUUGUGAGGAUCAGGAAUCAGGUUAAGAACUUCCAUUAGUGGCAUCACUGCUUCAAUCUCGUUCAACUGCUUCGCUGCAACAGACUUGUAUCUCUCCAUCCAUGCUUUACUGAAUGUCCACGGAAGAGCACGUGAGGGUAGUGGAGUAGGUUUGAAUCGUUUUACCAUUCUCUCGAUUAUGGCAGCCUUCUCUUCCGAGGUGGAUUGAGUGAGAUGGCGAGAACCAGCAGAAUGGUUGAAUUCAACAAUAGAGACUUCAACCUGAGUAGAAGCCUCCCCUUCUUGAACAUCAUUGUCCCCAGUGAUGAAAUCAGGGACAGGUUGAGUUGGCAGCUCUCGAUCAUGGCAGAUGGUGAUGGCGUGAGCGGUUGCAUACUCUUUUGGAUUCUGUAUGGACUUUCCUGGAAGUCCUGUAACUUUUAGUGUAGAGGUAGAUGCUGAUUGGCCUUCCAAGUAUCUGACUUUGGUAUUCAAUGCCUCCACUUUGGCAUUCAGGUUGUUGUAGCUGCAGUCCAGCUUAUGGUGCAAUUCAGAUAAUUUCUUAGCAAUUUCCAUUGAGCUAGAUGCUUGUCCUUGUAGCAGCUGUUGGACCAUCUCUUUCAUUUCAGCGUCAAGAGCAGCAGGACCUUGGUUUUGCUGAGGUGCAAACCCAGGUGGUGGUGGUUGGUGGUAGUUCCCCUGGAAUUGCUGCUUAGGAACGAAAUCUUGGUUGUAGAGAACAAAAGGUUUGUUCUGACCUUGUUGUUGCUGUGUAGGAUACACCUGAUCUUGAGGAUUAGCAACGUUGGUGCUGCGGUAGGAGAGGUUGGGAUUGUUGGUUUUGAAGUUGUUGUAUCCUUUGUAGCCACUCUGGUUGUUGUUGAUGUAGCUGACUUCUUCCAACUGGUUACCCUCCCCAUCUUGGACUUGAUACUGCUCGUCAUCAACAAGGAAGUGCACAUGCUUCUCCUGGCUAAGAAGAAUCAUGUCCAGCUUGUCAUUCAGCGCUUUGAUAUCCUUCCUGUGUUUGUCAUCAGAGUCAGCUGUUCCUCUAACGGUCCUAUCACAGUCCUCGUUGUAAUUGCCAUCUGAUUGAGCAAGGUUCUCUACCAAUUCCCAGCCUUCUUCAACAUCCUUGUUCUGGAAAUUCCCAUUGCUGGCGGUAUCCAGAAGCAUUCUGAUGCGUGGUAGGACUCCUCUAUAAAGUGUGCUGAGCAGAGAGGCUUUGGUAAAGCCAUGAUGAGGGCAUUGGUUGGUGUAACCCUUGAAACGCCUUCUUGCAAUCAUCCCAGGUGGUGAUUGAGUCAUGGGGCAGAUUCUUGUGAGACCCCGUCCUGGACGUCUCGGCGUCCGGCGAUGUUGUACUCAAGUUCGCGCCUCUUCCCAGCCAAACCUCUUAAUUUUUCACGAUUCAACAUAGAAUUGCCUUUACGAGGCUAAAUUCUAUAAUCGCUCUCUUAUUACACAGCGGAAGUCUUUCUAACCUUGGUUUAGUUCUAACCAACUCUUGUACCGGUUUCAUCGUCUUUGUCCCUUAGACUUAGAUCGAUCCUUUACUCGGUCAAGACAUGCAUAUGUUCGCUAACCAUUCUAAGCCAAACAAUCGCAUAUUCCUUUAUCCUACUUUCACGGUCAAUUACCAAACGUCUAUCUUAACUAAUAAGCUAGAUCGUUACAUACCUUGGCCGAUAUGCGGAUUUGAUUCCUUAGCCCGUUUGUCGCCUUACUCCAUUCGUUCAACGACUCGUAUUCGAUCGUGAAUUGAUAAACCAAUCCCUAUCGUUACUUAGCCAUACAACCAACCAACCCCACUGGUCUAAGUACAACGAUAGAGAUUGGGGAUCGUACGAUUCCCUUUGUUCACGAUGGCCGAAUCAAGCUCUUGGCUUAUUGGUCCAUCCGUUCUCCAAACGUACGCCCCUCCGGCUAUAUGGUGGACGAUUGAGCCCUCGGCUUAUCGAACCAUCCAUGUUUCCGAUCCGGUCGUUUAACACUACGACCGCCCACGGUUUACCAACCGUUUACCCAUCCGAUCCAUGGUGGUUGAUAAA
rnacentral:sRNA from 1 species